rnacentral:rRNA from 1 species
UCAGACGAUGCGUCAUGCAUAUCAAUAAGCGGAGGAAAAGAAACUAACAAGGAUUCCCUCAGUAACGGCGAGUGAAGCGGGAAGAGCUCAAAUUUGAAAUCUUGAAAGGUCACCUUUCACGAAUCUGUAGUUUAAAGAAGGUGUUUUCUGUUACGAUCGUAAUAUAAGUUCUUUGGAAUAGGACAUCACAGAGGGUGAGAAUCCCGUCUAUGAUUGCGAUUUGUAGCUUUGUGAUACACUUUCAAAGAGUCGGGUUGUUUGGGAAUGCAGCCCAAAACGGGAGGUAAAUUUCUUCUAAGGCUAAAUAUUGGCGAGAGACCGAUAGCGAACAAGUACCGUGAGGGAAAGAUGAAAAGAACUUUGAAAAGAGAGUUAAAUAGUACGUGAAAUUGUCAAAAGGGAAGCGUUUAACACCAGUGUUGUUUUCUGAAAAUCAACCUCUGUUAGCUUUAUGCAUGUUUGUUUAGACCUAAUCAGCUAUCUUGCAUGUUCUAUUGUUUGCAGUGGUGCACUUUUCAGUUUACAGGUCAACAUCAGUUUUUUUUUACCGUAAAAAAGUUAAAGAAAGGUAGCUCAUGGCUCCGGUCGUGAGUGUUAUAGUCUUUUUCCUAUGCGGUAGGAGAGACUGAGGUCUGCAGUGUAGGCUAUUUGGCUGGAUACUCAGGUGCUAUGUGAUACCAUUUCAUAAACAACUUGUUGAUUAUGUUUUGUCUAUUGCAUACUCGCUUGUACUAUCAUACCUACGCUUAGGAUGUUGAAGACUCUACAGAGAUA